GUGAAGGCAAGAGAUAUUGAAAUGUAUAAAAAGCGCAAGCUUCCAACGCACCAGGUUCAUUGGCAGCUACACCAAGGACUGGAAACUCAAGUUACAAGUAUUUUUAUCUUAUAACAAAGUGCUAUUUUUUUCCUUUUUCGUUUUACUGUAUCUACAAACCGUUUUUGUCUUCAUAAGGUUUAUUUAGAAGACUUCAAUCUUGUUCUUUUCUUUUGCUGUUGUAUAUGGAGAAGUUUAGGCCAUACGUCCCCUUCUCCCUACUCUUUGUACUCUUUUUAUCAAUAGUAUUAAUGAGAAUUUUCUUUU